AGUGUCAAGGGAUGGAAAUCGAACCCACGACCUUCCGCUUACCGGGCAGAUGCCAUGACCACUAGGCCACAUGACC
rnacentral:tRNA from 1 species